UACAGAGGGUGCGAGCGUUAAUCGGAAUUACUGGGCGUAAAGCGCACGUAGGUGGCGACGUAAGUCGGGUGUGAAAGCCCCGGGCUCAACCUGGGAAUUGCAUUCGAGACUGCAUUGCUGGAGUACGGAAGAGGAAGGCGGAAUUCCCGGUGUAGCGGUGAAAUGCGUAGAUAUCGGGAGGAACAUCAGUGGCGAAGGCGGCCUUCUGGUCCAGUACUGACACUCAAGUGCGAAAGCGUGGGGAGCAACAGG
rnacentral:rRNA from 1 species